CAAUACCGCGUGAGGGAGGAAGGUCCUUGGAUUGUAAACCUCUUUUAUCAGGGAAGAAGUUCUGACGGUACCUGAUGAAUAAGCAUCGGCUAACUCCGUGCCAGCAGCCGCGGUAAUACGGAGGAUGCAAGCGUUAUCCGGAAUUAUUGGGCGUAAAGCGUCCGUAGGUGGUUAUGCAAGUCUGCCGUUAAAGAAUGGAGCUUAACUCCAUAGGAGCGGUGGAAACUGCAAGACUAGAGUACAGUAGGGGUAGCAGGAAUUCCCAGUGUAGCGGUGAAAUGCGUAGAUAUUGGGAAGAACAUCGGUGGCGAAAGCGUGCUACUGGGCUGAAACUGACACUGAGGGACGAAAGCUAGGGUAGCGAAAGGGAUUAGAUACCCCUGUAGUCCUAGCCGUAAACGAUGGAUACUAGGCGUGGCUUGUAUCGACCCGAGCCGUGCCGAAGCUAACGCGUUAAGUAUCCCGCCUGGGGAGUACGCACGCAAGUGUGAAACUCAAAGGAAUUGACGGGGGCCCGCACAAGCGGUGGAGUAUGUGGUUUAAUUCGAUGCAACGCGAAGAACCUUACCAAGGCUUGACAUCCCUGGAAUCCUGCGGAAACGUGGGAGUGCCUUAGGGAGCCAGGAGACAGGUGGUGCAUGGCUGUCGUCAGCUCGUGUCGUGAGAUGUUGGGUUAAGUCCCGCAACGAGCGCAACCCUCGUUUUUAGUUGCCAUCAUUAAGUUGGGCAC
rnacentral:rRNA from 1 species